rnacentral:rRNA from 1 species
UAAAGUGGCUAACGGCUGAGUAACACGUGGGCAACCUGCCCUUUGCACUGGGAUAGCCUCGGGAAACCGAGGUUAAUACCGGAUACUCCAUAUUUGUCGCAUGGCGAAUAUGGGAAAGCUCCGGCGGCAAAGGAUGGGCCCGCGGCCUGUUAGCUAGUUGGUGGGGUAGUGGCCUACCAAGGCAAUGAUGGGUAGCCGGGUUGAGAGACCGACCCGCCAGAUUGGGACUGAGACACGGCCCAGACUCCUACGGGAGGCAGCAGCG